UACGUAGGCAGCAAGCGUUGUUCGGAGUUACUGGGCGUAAAGGGUGCGUAGGCGGUUGUUUAAGUUUGGUGUGAAAUCUCCCGGCUCAACUGGGAGGGUGCGCCGAAUACUGAAUGACUAGAGUGCGGGAGGGGAGAGUGGAAUUCCUGGUGUAGCGGUGAAAUGCGUAGAUAUCAGGAGGAACACCGGUGGUGUAGACGGCUCUCUGGACCGUAACUGACGCUGAGGCACGAAAGCGUGGGUAGCAAACAGG
rnacentral:rRNA from 1 species